rnacentral:misc_RNA from 1 species
GUCUCCACGUCCACGAUCCUCCAUGGUCUGUUCAAUUGUCUGUUUUGUUUUUGUUGGUUCUAAUCUAAACUUACUUCUGUUUCCAAGUUUCCGUUGAAUUCAGUUAGCCAUUAUAGCUUUAUAGCCAAAUAGCCAUAGCCUUUGCUAGUGAAAAUUCCAUUUAUUUUGUAAAAUUGUAUCGCUUUCCUGUUUUGAAGUUGUGGUUGGCUCAAUAUAGAGAGGUCUUAUCAGUCUGGGGGGACUGAUAUCGAAAAUCAUUAGGCUACCAUUUACAAGUAUGAGCCAUGGCUUUGUUAAACCUGGUACUGAGAAGAUUGGGUUUCAAAUUUAAGAUGCACAACCGGUGGAGGGCAGAACCUCAAGGCUCACAAGUUUGUGAGCAGUGGCGAGGAGGAGAAGGCUGCUCAGCCCUCCUGGGCGGGGUGGGGGAAGGGUCGCCCCGACGCUCCUCACCACUACUUGUAAUGUGGUGGGGAAAGGGGAACCCGCUCCCCCAUCCCAACGGAUCCUAGGUGGGGGGCGCCUCCAUAGAAGCACAGACGGGUUCGCUGAUGACAUACCAGUCCCUGAUUUACAAGGAUGCGUAUGCCGUGGAUGGACUCUGCGGUCGCAUGUUUGUAUUUGUGCAGCGUGGCGAAUACGUGUUGCAAACUCUUGUCAAAAAUCAAAAUGUGUGGAAAAUUCCAGUGUCCUGCUCCACCAAGGUCAUCUUUGGCGGCUAAGAAGACGUUUGAUGAAUCUGGACAUUAUGUAUGACGACGAAAAUCCCCAUUGGGUGAGAAGUGGACAGAUGAAGUGGCAGCUGAAAUUUGGACAGAUCACUUCAACAGAACUGCCAAAAAUGGAAACCCAAUCUGCACAAAAUACAUGGAUUUAGCACUAUAAAUGAAAUAAUAUGGAUUUUUUAGAUGAAAAUUUGGGAGCGCACUAGGAAAGUUGAACAUUCCAUCUUGUGGAUUAAAAAUUAAAAAGCGAAUCAUUAUUAUUUCUUAUAUUUGUUUUUAUAUAAAUGAAUUCAAGCUAAAAUGAUAAUGAUUCAUGAGUAUAAUUUUGAUUGUGGAUUUGAGUGGAAUUUUUAAUAUUUGUGGCGAUUAUUUAGAAUAAGAAAUUACGAAUAUACGAAUUUAGAAAAAGUGAAAUACUUGUUUGUGUACUUAACAUAAGUCGUCUACUUGUGGAAAGCCUGAUUAAACAUAAUUUCA